CACGUAGGGUGCGAGCGUUGUCCGGAAUUAUUGGGCGUAAAGAGCUCGUAGGCGGCCCUGUUGCGUCCGCUGUGAAAGCCCGGGGCUUAACCCCGGGUCUGCAGUGGAUACGGGCAGGCUAGAGGUAGGUAGGGGAGAAUGGAAUUCCCGGUGUAGCGGUGAAAUGCGCAGAUAUCGGGAAGAACACCCGUGGCUAAGGCGGCUCUCUAGUACGGUACUGACGCUGAGACGCGAAAGCGUGGGGAGCGAACAGG
rnacentral:rRNA from 1 species